AUUGAACGCUGGCGGCAGGCCUAACACAUGCAAGUCGAGCGAGCGGCGGACGGGUGAGUAAUGUCUGGGAAACUGCCUGAUGGAGGGGGAUAACUACUGGAAACGGUAGCUAAUACCGCAUACCAUCAGAUGUGCCCAGAUGGGAUUAGCUAGUAGGUGGGGUAACGGCUCACCUAGGCGACGAUCCCUAGCUGGUCUGAGAGGAUGACCAGCGAGACUGGAACUGGGGCACGGACCAGACUCGUACGGGAGGCAGCAGUGGGGAAUAUUGCACAAUGGGCGCAAGCCUGAUGCAGCCAAGUAGCUUGCAGGAUGACGGCCUAUGGGUUGUAAACUGCUUUUAAUGGGGAUAAGGUACCAUAUGAAUAAGGACCGGCUAAUUCCGUGCCAGCAGCCGCGGUAAUAC
rnacentral:rRNA from 1 species